CUAUUUAAUUAAUUCUUUUGAGGUGUUAGAUUGGAGAAAAUUGGUGCUUAUUAAGUAUUACUGUAAAAUUGGUGAUGUGGACAAAGAGGAUCCACUUAAGCACCUAAUGUGGGGUGCUCCUCUAUUGUGGAUGGUCUUAAACUUGAUAAUUGCCUUGUGCUCCAAGCCCGAUUCGCAAUUGUAUGUGGCCCAGCACGCGCUUGGCAUGUGAAUACAAUGAAAAACAUAAUGUUAGCAUGCAUCAUAU
rnacentral:lncRNA from 1 species